UCCCGUUUAGCUCAGUUGGUAGAGCGCGUCACUAGUAACCUGCUUAUGUAAUGACGAGGUCAGUCGUUCAAGUCGGCUAAUGGGAA